rfam:Populus trichocarpa scaffold_17_contig_197, whole genome shotgun sequence.
UCUAGAACUCGAGAUAUGGGCUGAACACUAAACAGUGUAUGGGUUGUAGGACAGAUUCGGACUUCUUCGUUGUUGCUAUAAUUUGGACUUGAAAACGGCCUUGUUAAAUCUUGGGCUCCCCAUGAAAGUUGUAGGCCUAUGUCUUACCUUUCCAUC